CAUUAAUGAUUGCGAAUGGUUGCCUUCGGUGCUGGCUCUUGCAAGUGCACGUUGGUGGCUUUCAUCCAAUACCCCUGUGAACCUUUGGCCUCUUGCUCGCUUCGGCUGGCAGAGGAUUUUUACACACUCGAAUGUAAUGAAAACUAUUGUCGUGCGCAAGCACUAAUGUACAACUUUCAACAACGGAUCUCUUGGCUCUCGCAUCGAUGAAGAACGCAGCGAAAUGCGAUAAGUAAUGUGAAUUGCAGAAUUCAGUGAAUCAUCGAAUCUUUGAACGCACCUUGCACCCUUUGGUAUUCCGAAGGGUAUGCUCGUUUGAGUGUCAUUGUACUCUCACACUCUCUGAUCCUUUUGGAUUCAGGGAGCGGUGGACUUGGGUGUUUGCUGCUUACCUUGCAGCUCACCUCAAAUGCGUCAGUGCAUCUCUUGGUUGGACAUAGUACGGCGUGAUAAGUAUCUUCGCCGGCACCUCGCAAGAGGGUGGCCGAUUGAGAGCUCUGUGCUUUCAAACCGUCUUCGGACACUUUCUGACAACUUGACCUCAAAUCGAGUAGGACUACCCGCUGAACUUAAGCAUAU
rnacentral:misc_RNA from 1 species